AAGCGGGAAGCGCGCCUCAAGAUGAGAUCUCCCGGGAGCUUGACUCCCCUGAAGGAACCAUCAAGACCAGGUGGUUGAUAGGCUGGGUGUGUAAGUACAGCAAUGUAUUGAGCUAACCAGUACUAAUGAUCCGUGCGGCUUGACCAUAUAACCUCA
rnacentral:rRNA from 1 species